ACGCUGGCGGCGUGCCUAAUACAUGCAAGUCGAGCGGACCGACGGGAGCUUGCUCCCUUAGGUCAGCGGCGGACGGGUGAGUAACACGUGGGUAACCUGCCUGUAAGACUGGGAUAACUCCGGGAAACCGGGGCUAAUACCGGAUGCUUGAUUGAACCGCAUGGUUCAAUUAUAAAAGGUGGCUUUUAGCUACCACUUACAGAUGGACCCGCGGCGCAUUAGCUAGUUGGUGAGGUAACGGCUCACCAAGGCAACGAUGCGUAGCCGACCUGAGAGGGUGAUCGGCCACACUGGGACUGAGACACGGCCCAGACUCCUACGGGAGGCAGCAGUAGGGAAUCUUCCGCAAUGGACGAAAGUCUGACGGAGCAACGCCGCGUGAGUGAUGAAGGUUUUCGGAUCGUAAAACUCUGUUGUUAGGGAAGAACAAGUACCGUUCGAAUAGGGCGGUACCUUGACGGUACCUAACCAGAAAGCCACGGCUAACUACGUGCCAGCAGCCGCGGUAAUACGUAGGUGGCAAGCGUUGUCCGGAAUUAUUGGGCGUAAAGCGCGCGCAGGCGGUUUCUUAAGUCUGAUGUGAAAGCCCCCGGCUCAACCGGGGGAGGGUCAUUGGAAACUGGGGAACUUGAGUGCAGAAGAGGAGAGUGGAAUUCCACGUGUAGCGGUGAAAUGCGUAUAGAUGUGGAGGAACACCAGUGGCGAAGGCGACUCUCUGGUCUGUAACUGACGCUGAGGCGCGAAAGCGUGGGGAGCGAACAGGAUUAGAUACCCUGGUAGUCCACGCCGUAAACGAUGAGUGCUAAGUGUUAAAGGGUUUCCGCCCUUUAGUGCUGCAGCAAACGCAUUAAGCACUCCGCCUGGGGAGUACGGUCGCAAGACUGAAACUCAAAGGAAUUGACGGGGGCCCGCACAAG
rnacentral:rRNA from 1 species